AACCCUCAGAGAGGAUCUUUAAUGUCUGGCUGAUCAGGACGCAGACAGGGAGCUCAUUUUAACGUCUUAUUCAAAGGGCAGUGUCUCUGACAAUGCGGCCCCCCACCUCUCCCAAAGCGCUGGAGUGUAAUGACUGCGGGUUUCGUAGGCAGACAAGGCAGACCAAUUCUGUGCACGGUCACAACCGUAUUGGUAGAUGUGUUGAUUAGCUGUUUGUAACUAUGAAUGUUCCUCUUUCAGUGGCUUCUGGUGGAAGAUUCCCAGCCCUGACCUGACCACCUCUCCAGGGUCAAGAUGAACACAACACUCACACCAACCAAAGUAUCUGGUGGGGCCACCUCACCCAGGAAGGGACCCCCAAAGUUCAAGCAAAGGGCCACACGUCAGUUCAAGAGCAAACCCCCAAAGGCAGGCGUUAAGGGGUUUGGAGAUGAUAUUCCUGGAAUGGAGGGGCUUGGCACAGAUAUCACUGUUAUCUGCCCCUGGGAGGCAUUCAACCACCUGGAACUACAUGAACUGGCUCAGUACGGAAUAGUCUGAGACAGCCCGAGACACAGGCCUGUAUCUCAGCAACUGGCAUCUACCAUAGUAAUCCAUUUAUGUGGUUUCGUUGCUACAAACAGACCUCAGCAAACAUUGAUCGCAAGAUUUUCUCAUCUCACCCGGCAAAGGUCAACAAUGAAGCAGGCACAGCCACGCCAUUCCAAUAAGGAGGAGGAGGAGUAUUACUCCAGCAGAGGCUAUGCCAGCUGCUAGCGGGACAUGAGAAGCUGUUGAAGAGAGAGAGAGAGAGAGAUUAAUGAUCGGGAUUACUCAGCCACAGCAGAACCCAUCUCUCGUGGUGACCAGCGCGCUCACAAGGCAGAGCAAAGGGACACGGAUGUUAAAGGUUCAACCAGCCGUCUUGUGAACUGAAUUUGCAGACAGCAGUGUGCGAACGAGAGAAGUGUGGGCAUAAACAUGGAGAGCAGUGGAAGAGAAGCCAAGGGCUCACUGACCUUUCAGGAUGAUGUCCACCUUGGCACUGGAUUCAGACAGUAUGGAUCCUUCAACCUCGUACAGGCAAUGGAGACUUCAGAAAGACAACACUCACCGACCGCAGAAAGGAUGAUAAACAGCGACAUCGUCCUUCGAGUGUGAGGGGAGUUGACGGCUGAAUGUGUCUAACUUUCCAAAAGC